rnacentral:lncRNA from 1 species
ACCUGUAUGUCAUACCAGUAUCUCCACACUCUUUGGUUAAGAGGACAACCAACCCAUAUGGCCUACAGCGACCUAUGCUCGAUAGAAGCUAUCGUCCUUAUUAACAGCCUAUCAUUUAGUCGUGAACAGUUUUAAGGACUAAUCGAUAAAUCCUCUCUUUAUCGAAUCUAAAUAGUCCUAAGGACUUCAUCAUAACAACGAAGUUCAUUAGAAGAUGAAAGCUUAUGAUGAAAAUGCCAAAUAUAUUUUAUUUAUUAAUAAAUCAAUUA